GACAGAGGGUGCAAACGUUGUUCGGAAUCACUGGGCGUAAAGCGCGUGUAGGCGGCUAUGUAAGUCGGGCGUGAAAUCCCACGGCUCAACCGUGGAAGUGCACCCGAAACUGCGUAGCUAGAGUCCUGGAGAGGAAGGUGGAAUGCUUGGUGUAGAGGUGAAAUUCGUAGAUAUCAAGCGGAACACCGGUGGCGAAGGCGGCCUUCUGGACAGUGACUGACGCUGAGACGCGAAAGCGUGGGGAGCAAACAGG
rnacentral:rRNA from 1 species